CGGCGAGUGAAGCGGCAAAAGCUCAAAUUUGAAAUCUGGCUCUUUCAGAGUCCGAGUUGUAAUUUGAAGAAGGUAUCUUUGGGUCUGGCUCUUGUCUAUGUUUCUUGGAACAGAACGUCACAGAGGGUGAGAAUCCCGUGCGAUGAGAUGAUCCAGGCCUAUGUAAAGUUCCUUCGAAGAGUCGAGUUGUUUGGGAAUGCAGCUCUAAGUGGGUGGUAAAUUCCAUCUAAAGCUAAAUAUUGGCGAGAGACCGAUAGCGAACAAGUACAGUGAUGGAAAGAUGAAAAGAACUUUGAAAAGAGAGUGAAAAAGUACGUGAAAUUGUUGAAAGGGAAGGGCUUGAGAUCAGACUUGGUAUUUUGUAUGUUACUUCUUCGGGGGUGGCCUCUACAGUUUAUCGGGCCAGCAUCAGUUUGGGCGGUAGGAGAAUUGCGUUGGAAUGUGGCACGGCUUCGGUUGUGUGUUAUAGCCUUCGUCGAUACUGCCAGCCUAGACUGAGGACUGCGGUUUAUACCUAGGAUGUUGGCAUAAUGAUCUUAAGUCGCCCGUCUUG
rnacentral:rRNA from 1 species